GAGGAAAGCCAAGAGUUUUUCUUUUGUUUGAACUACUUUGCAUUGGAAUGGAUCUGACUGUUCAGCCUGCCUCCCAGGUGAAAAGUCAGGACUCAGAGGUGGGACACAUUGCAAGUGAAUGAUGGAACAUCAACACCAGAUUGCCGAGG